rnacentral:sRNA from 1 species
GACAACGGCAUAAAGGAGUAUAUAAUUCCUCGUAGCUUGAAAGUACGACUUAUAUUUAUGCGCAUCGGCUAGUCCUGUUUUUCAUAAGUAAUAGCAAGCUUCCAGCAAAACAGCCCAUUAGGGCGUAAAUUACUCUUGAAAAAAUGGAUAUUACUAUGUCUGAUACUACCGGUACUGUUAAGUGGUUCAACGAAUCUAAAGGUUUUGGUUUCAUCGAGCAGGAAAACGGCCCUGACGUUUUCGCUCACUUCCGUGCAAUCAACGGUUCAGGCUUCAAAACUCUUGUUGAAGGCCAAAAGGUUUCUUUCACUGUUACUCAGGGCCAGAAAGGUCCUCAGGCAGAGAACAUCACUGUUCUAUAAUGUAGAGCACUGUGAUUGACCACGGUUUAGUGGUCAAAUCAAAAAAGGGGCAAGACGUAAAGUCUGCCCUUUUUUUUCG